AACAAAGAUGAUUAGGGGACUGGAAACUAAAGCAUAUAAGGAAAGGCUGCUGGAAUUGGGUCCCAAACCAACAGAACCAGGUCUUCAAUCUCUUCCGGAAGUCCAGGAGUGUAAGAGCAGAUCUCUCCCUAAGGGGCAAGAUGUUCCAAAUAGCAGGAACCAUAGUAGAAAAGACUCUUCUCCCGGACCUUAUCAGCCAAUUUCCUCGAGCAACGGGGUCUGCAGCAUGCCUCCUUUGCCUUCACAGAUGGGGUGAGCCCAUCCCGUUGGUGUGAGACUCAGAGUCCACUAGAUUGCUUCAUUGUCCUCAACUCCUAGAUGAUUCAAGGUGCUACUUGAGGUAUGCUAGAGCACGGGUCCCCAAUCUGUGGGCCAUGGCGGGGUUGCAACUGAGCCACGGAAAUGGCCUUAUGUCCACCCAGAUUGAAGAUCUGGCCAAAUGCCUAACCAUUCUGCAUUCAGCUUGGAGCAAUGAAACAGAGUCAAGGAUCAAGUUCCAGAUGCAAGCAGGAGCAGUAAGCAGUCAUUGGAUUUUGAAUGCAAGUCACUAUGUGGAAAAAACACUCCAUCCUUUACCUUUUGGUUUUGGCCAUUGCAACAAACAAUGUAGUAUAUGGACAAAACAGAAAGAAGGGGCAAAGGUUAAGUUCUCUAGCAAGAAAAGACAAUCUUCAGGAUUCUGUCUGUUUUAUUGACAUCAUCUUUGUUCUGGAUAGUUCUGAAAGUGCAAAGGGUAUAUUAUUUGAUAAGCAGAAAGAGUUUGCUAUCCUCUUAAGCGAUAAAGUCUUCCUCAUGAAGCCCACCCGUACCCACAGGUAUGAUAUCAGACUGGCCAUCCUGCAGUUCAGUAGUUCUGUCAGAAUUGACUGUCCUUUUUUAGCAUGGAAAAACUUGCAGAUUUUUAAGCAAAAAGUCAAUGAAAUGAGCUACAUUGGGCAUGGCACUUAUUCCUACUAUGCUAUUUCUAAUGCAACUCAACUGCUCAGAGCAGAAGGUCGUAAAACAAGCAUCAAAGUGGUUUUGCUAAUGACAGAUGGUAUUGAUCAUCCCAAAAAUCCCAACGUUCAAGACAUAUCAGAAAAGGCCAGAGCUCUUGGAAUAUCUUUCAUUACCAUUGGUUUGUCCAACGAUGUCAAUAAAACGAAGCUGCAUUUGAUAUCUGGUGAUUCUCCAGGGAAGUCUGUUUUCAUUUUGAAUGAGCCCAGCCUUUCAGAUAAAAUAAGGAACCAGUUGGUAAGUUAUAUUUUUAAAAUUUAAUUCAUUUUAAUUAUUGUUGAAGUUGCAAGGCCUCAAAAUAGGGAGUGCAUGAUUUUAGGAUUGGGCAAAUAAACUUAUACUAUGGCAUUUGCGAACAUGAUAUAGAUGUGCUGGACAAGGAAUCCUAAAAUAACUGGAAUUGUAACUCAUAUGGAAGACAAAAUUAAGAGAAAAAUGAUGCAAACUAUUGCAGUUAUACAUUACUCUCAGUUUUAAAAAAUGUAAAAUAUAAGGAUGGACUAUUUUCUGAAAUAGUCCUAAGCAAUACCUUCUCAAUCUUGCAUUUAAGCUUUUUACUGGUGAGAGUUAUUAUUUACUAUUUUAUAACUUUUGCAUAUGCAAUUAUUGUACCAUUCUAAUUUAGUUUUUAAUUGUUUAAAUUAUUUAGUUUAAAUGGUUUAACUUUAAGAAUUCAAUUAAUUAACUAAUCAUAAUAAAAUACCAUUAUUUAAUUGUUUUAUUAUAAACUUUCUAACUUACUCUUGUUUGUUAGCCACUUUGAGUAUUAUUUUUCUUUCUUAGAAAGGCAGAAUAACAAUCCAACUCAUAUCUAUUGUCUUUCUUAUUCUAACCUGACCACCAAUCAUUAUUGAAAUGCUUGUUCGCUUGUUUAUUCUAACCUGACCACCAAUCAUUAUUGAAAUGCUAGUUCGCUGCCCCUCAUUCCCAGCCGUCUCCUGCCCCCCUCUCUGCUCCCCACCCAGCAUUGCAAUGUCACAACUUUCAGACAUUCUAGUAACUUGAUGAUGACACCUUACCAAUGUCUACUUGUUGGGGGACAUGAAAAACUUCCAGUCUAUACUUCUUUAAAAGUUGUCCUACCUCAGAUUUUGAUACAUUUCAAGAUCAAGGGAAUGUCAGAGUAGGAAGAAAAUAUGCUUCAGCAGAAUGAAAAAGAAGGCAGUCUCAGAGUAUGGGCAGAAUGGAAGACCAACAUUAUAGUUAUAUUUUAUGACAUCCAUGCUUUAAACUGCCAGUAGAAAAAUAUCCCAAAUAUUGAGUAUUGUAAGCAGUGUUGUGGGUAGUAUUUUUCUUUGAUUCAGCUUUGCACACACUUUCAGGCCCAUCAUCAAAGACAUAUACAAACUAUAGGUUUUUCAGUAGCUAACUAGAUCCUUUGUUUUGGUCUCUCUGGGUAUCCUCAGUUUUGGAGGGUUCCCUCCCCUUUGAAUCUUCCUUCUUGUUGGCAGAGAUUCAAUCAUUUUGUCUACUUGGCCAUCUUGUUUGCAACUCCCUUUUCCUUUUUGUUUCCUUUUUUGUUUGAGAUGCUGCUCCAGAUGCAUUUACUCUUGGCAUUUUUUUUUAUCCUAUUGACUACUAGUUGACAUUAAAAAUAAAGCUAGAAAGCCGGGAGCUCCCUCUCCUUCUUUCAUUGUUUCUGUGUUGCUCUGCUCUGCUCUGCCUACUGAAAUAGCUUUCCUCUUCAGUCUGCUUCCUAUUGGAAGCCUAGAAUAUCACUUUCCUUUUUUUUCCUGACCUCAAAAACAAAAAGUUGAAUGAUGCGGCUUUUCUACUAUUGUAUGUAACUUUUCCUAAUAAACCUUGUUUGUCCUUUGAAGCGGUGAAAAUCUGCUUCUACUUUAAUAGGCUAGAUUUACACAGUACAUUUUGAUAAGUAUGAAUCCAGUGGAUGAAAUGGAAGAUCCCAAAAGGAUGCUCAAUACAAUAAUUCCUCAACUUUGCAACUCUAUUUCAUAAAUUUUCCUGAAAAAGAUAUAAGAAAGCUUGGGAGUCAGUCAGAACAUAGUGAUAUCUCAGUGUAUCUGAAACAAAGCCCGUAUGCUUCCAGUCCAUUCCUGAAUUGGAGAUUAUGUGGAAACCUCAGGUAUGCAGCCUUCAGUUCAGAGAAAAAUAGGUUAAAAUACUCAGCUGCAGAUUGGCCAUUUGUAGAGUUAAACAGACAGGCCGUUUCUAGCUGAAUAGGUAAGUUUUUAAUCUUCAAUUACACAAGGGAAACAUUUCAGAAAGGAUCCUGCCUAGUUUGUCGGAGAGUAAAAGGAAAGAAAAGAAGAAAUUAUUUUAGCCUAGCAAGGUUCUGUUAAUGUAACCUUACAAUAAAUAGAGAGCUAGUACCCCUGGUUGUGCUUCCUAUUUGGCUACUUUGCAGGGCUAACACAUUUUGACAAAUGUGGAUGCCCUUAAUAGUAAUAAUACUAUCGUGAAUGUGGAAUAAAAUAUUUUGAUUGUGAAUUCCAUUCCAGUUCAAUGAUUCCAAGUUAUCAAGUAUGGUCUAAACCAGGGCGAUACAACAUAUGGUCCAUUUAACAGGCUUAUGCAGCCCAUUGGCAUUUUCUGAGAAAUAGUUCACCACCACCAAAUGUCACCACUGUUAGAAAGAAUAUUCUGCCACUUAGACUUUGUCAAGCCAUCCAAUGUCUUCACGGGCAGUGCUAGCUCCAACACUCCUAGCUGCCAAACAGGUAUUCCUUUUUGGUUUGCAAAUAUAUUUAAGGCAGCAAUCUGGCACUUGCCCCUCUAAUAUGAAUUUAUAAUAAAGUAGAGCUAGUUCUUCUGGGUGUGCUUCUUGCCUGACUGACAGCAUCUGAUAAUGAUGUUUUCACUUUCUACAACAUGUUUUAAAAAGCUAAAGAGACACUGAAUAUUGUCAUAAAUCACAAAUUAGGAUUUUUUAACCAAGUUUUAUUGAAUAAAUCUUUAUUAGAUGAUUUAGUCAUAACUACGGACAAAUCACGUUAUGACUUAAUGCAACAUAUGAAGUCACUGAUUCACACACUACCCAAUCAUUUUUUAGUCUAAGAUGAAAAUUUGUGAAAAUUUAGUCUGUUUGUUCAGGAGUAAAUAUGUUUUCAGCAAAUACACAUUAAUAUAUCCUUUCAAUUUUCUUGAAAUUUUCCAAAAGCUGAUUCUUUGGUAGAAACAUACCAACAUGUGCUGAGUUCAGUUUUAAUGCAGUCUGGAUUUACAUAAUAAUCUAAGCUAAAUUAAGGUAGCCAAGUAGUGGCUCAACAGGCAGCAAAUCCAUCCAUUAUCUGAGAAAUUCUGUGAACCAGGGUAUAAUCAGCAUAAGCACAAUAUAAUGUAUUAUUUGGAAAGUUAGGAAAUGUAGCAAUUAUGUUUUUAAAACCCAGAUUUAGAGAUUAGUAUAUUGUUGAACCCAGCCACUGAGUUACAUUAAUAUUUAACAAAGGACUUAGAGUAACAUUCUAAGCCACAAUGUGGUUUACUUAGCACUGAAUUAGCAUCUUAUGAAACCCAGUCAUGAUGUCUUAUUUAAUAAAUUAAACAAUGGUAUAAAUGGUUAUUUGUAAAUCUAAUAAAAUUAGAAAUUAUAAAAUUAAAUAUAACAGCAGUGUACUUGCUACAUGGAAUAAAAAAGCAAAGAGAGAGAGAGAGAGCAAUUUUGUAUGGCAGAUUCUUUAGAAUAUCUUACAUAAACAUAAUACAAAAAAUAAACAGGAUAUGAUUAGAUCAGAAAGGAGCACUAGACAUAAUAUAAAAUCAAAGUUCAUAAUAGCAUUACUCAGGAGAAUAUUAGAAGCUGCUCAAUCUGCUAGCAAGACUUAAAAAGCAAGAACUGUAAUGAAAAAUAACAAAAUGAGAUCAGUUGAUGUACUUGUCCUUGAAUAUCUAGAAACAUCAAAGACUGGGAAAAAAAUAAAAGAUAUUUUUUAACCAGGUGCAGCCUUUCCCAGCAAUUCAGCUCUGUGAGGGAGGAUUGCUAUUGCUAUUUUUAAAAAUAUUUUAGUUUUCAAUGCUUAAGUUUUUUUUCCAGAAUCAGGACCUGAAAAGAUCAGCACAUAUGACUUAACUUAUUUUAGUCUGUUUGCAUGUAUAUCCCCUUAUUAUCCAGAUUAAAUUGUUUCCUGCAUCAUUAAAAGUUUCUGAUAUAGAUCUGUUGAGAAACUGAUAUCUAUUCAAGCAAUAGAUAUAUGAGUAAGUAACAAUUUACAUUACAUUACAUAUAGUACAUAUAUACAUUAUUUAUUUAUUUCUCAACAGAUUGCUUAUUUCUCUUUAAAAAAAAAAGUGACAGGAACUGUUCCUCACUAUUCCCAAUCAAUUAGACAGCAGAAAAGUGGGAAGAAUUUGAAUCCCAGGGAUCCUUAGAUAAAACUUACAGGGUGUUUUAUUUUGAACUCUUAAAUCCUAUUAGAAAAAUAAAAACUAAAUUAGAAAAUAAAUAGUAAAUCCAAAGUAAACAAAAAAAAUUAAAAUUACAUGAAAUCAAUUAUAUAGUAACUAUACAAUCACAUCAUUCCAUUAAACAAAUAUUCAUGAGAUUUUGUUGGUAAGAUUGAGAUCUUUUUAAGUGAAUAAAAUAAAUAAAUUUGUGCCACUGUUUACUACAGUUACCUGCCUAUUACUUUGUGUUAUUUGCAUUUCUUGCUAUAGUGAACUUUUCUUCAUACAUUCCAAAUACUGUAUGAUAAUAUGAGCCCAGUGUAAAACUUGUAGAUGUUUUCCAAGUUUUUGUUUGUUUGUUAUGUUGCCAUGAAAAGAAAUGUCAACUAGGUCUUUGAAGUUAAUACGGCACCAGUGUCAUUAUAAUUGGUGAAAGAGCCACUUUUGCAUUAAAUAUCAUUUGUUAAAUGAUAAUUUUUCCUGAAGAGACUAGCAUUCAGACAGAAUAAUGGAGUAACAGAAUAACAGAAGGGACCUUGGAGGUCUUCUAGUUCAGGGCUUUUCAACCUUUUCAUCGAUUGUACCACUUUUAGGA